rnacentral:tRNA from 26 species
GGGUGAUUAGCUCAACUGGGAGAGCACCUCCCUUACAAGGAGGGGGUCGGCGGUUCGAUCCCGUCAUCACCCACCA